AACCCCGGGAAACUGGGGCCAAUUUCCGAUAGGUGAAGAUCCCUGGAAUGGGUUUUCGCCCAAAAGACGUUUGGGUCACGCUUUCAGACGUUGCCCAAGGAUGGGGCCGCGGCCGAUCAGGUUGUUGGUGAGGUAACGGCUCACCAAGCCUUUGACCGGUUCGGGCCGUGAGAGCGGUAGCCCGGAGAUGGGCACUGAGACAAGGGCCCAGGCCCUACGGGGCGCAGCAGUCGCGAAAACUUCGCAAUAAGCGAAAGCUUGACGGGGCCAUCCCGAGUGCCAUCUGCUGAGGAUGGCUUUUACCCAGUAUAGAUAGCUGGGGGAAUAAGGAGAGGGCAAGUCUGGUGUCAGCCGCCGCGGUAAUACCAGCUCUCCGAGUUGUGGGGACGUUUAUUGAGCCUGAAGCAUCCGUAGCCGGCUGUGCAAGUCCCCUGUUAAAUCCAGCGACUAAUCGUUGGCCUGCGGGGGAUACUGCUCGGCUAGGGGGCGGGAGAGGCCGUCGGUAUUCUUGGGGUAGGGGUGAAAUCCCAUAAUCCCAGGAGGACCACCGGUGGCGAAGGCUGUCGGCUAGAACGCGCCCGACGGUGAGGGAUGAAAGCUGGGGGAGCGAACCGGAUUAGAUACCCGGGUAGUCCCAGCUGUAAACGGUGCAGGCUAGGUGUUAGGGCGGCUACGUGCCGCUCUAGUGCCGCAGGGAAGCUGUUAAGCCUGCCGCUUUGGGAGUACGGCCGCAAGGCUGAAACUUAAA
rnacentral:rRNA from 1 species